rnacentral:lncRNA from 1 species
CAGAUAUGGAUUACUGCUAUGGGGCUGCCCCACAGAUACGGAUCAGCGCUAUGGGGCUGCCCCACAGAUAUGGAACAGCGCUAUGGGGCUGCCCCACAGAUAUGGAUCAGCGCUAUGGGGCUGCCCCACGGCGAUGGGGCACGGCUGUAUCGGUGCAUGGCAAUAAAAAGGCUCUGCAUGGACUCCCCCGUCCCGGACCCCCAAGUGUGGGGCACAAAGCAGGACCCCAAAUGUGGGGCAGAAAGUGGGACCCCCAAGUGUGGGACCCCCAAGUGUGGGGCACAAAGCGGGACCCCCAAACGUGGGACCCCCAAGUGUGGGGCACAGAGCGGGACCCCCAAAUAUGGGACCCCCAAGUGUGCGACCCCCAAGUGUGGGGCACAAAUUGGGACCCCCAAGUGUGCGACCCCCAAGUGUGGGGCACAGAGCGGGACCCUCAAACGUGGGACCCCCAAGUGUGGGGCACAGAGCGGGACCCCCAAAUAUGGGACCUCCAAGUGUGCGACCCCCAAGUGUGGGGCACAAAGCGGGACCCCCAAAUGUGGGACCCCCAAGUGUGGGGCACAGAGCGGGACCCCCAAACGUGGGACCCCCAAGUGUGUGACCCCCAAGUGUGGGGCACAGAGUGGGACCCCCAAAUGUGGGACCCCCAAGUGUGGGGCAC